CCUGUUUGUUGGCCACCAUAUACCUGAGUCAACAUGGCAGUUGGUAAAUGACCACUCGGGAGAUAAUCAAUGAAUGAAUGUGUAUGUGGAUGAUGGAUGGAUGGGUGGAUGGAUGGAUGGAUAGAUGGAUGGAAGGAAGGAAGAAAGGAUGGGUGGAUGGAUGGAUGGAUGGAAGGAAGGAUGGAUGGAUGGAUGGAUGGAAUGAUCGAUGGAUGGAUGGAUGGAUGGAUGGAUGGAUGGAUGGAUGGAUGGAAGGAAGGAUGGAUGGGUGGAUGGAAGGAAGGAAGGAUGGAUGGAUGGAUGGAUGGAUGGAUGGAAUGAUGGAUGGAUGGAUGGAUGGAUGGAUGGAUGGAUGGAUGGAUGGAAGGAAGGAUGGAUGGAAGGAAGGAAGGAUGGAUGGAUGGAUGGAUGGAAGGAAGGACAGAUGGAUGGAAGGAUGGAUGGAAGGAUGGAUGGAUGGAAGGAUGGAUGGAUGGAUGGAUGGAUGGAUGGAUGGAAGGAAGGAUGGAUGGAUGGAAUGAUGGAUGGAAGGAAGGAAGGAUGGAUGGAUGGAUGGAUGGAUGGAAGGAUGGAUGGAAUGAUGGAUGGAAGGAAGGAAGGAUGGAUGGAUGGAAGGAAGGAAGAAAGGAUGGGUGGAUGGAUGGAUGGAUGGAAGGAAGGAUGGAUGGAUGGAUGGAAUGAUGGAUGGAUGGAUGGAUGGAAAGAUGGAAGGAAGGAUGGAUGGAUGGAUGGAAGGAAGGAUGGAUGGAUGGAUGGAAUGAUGGAUGGAUGGAUGGAUGGAUGGAAAGAUGGAAGGAAGGAUGGAUGGAUGGAAUGAUGGGUGGAAGGAAAGAAGGAUGGAUGGAUGGAUGGAAUGAUGGAUGGAUGGAUGGAUGGAUGGAUGGAUGGAUGGAUAGAUGGAUGGAAGGAAGGAAGGAUGGGUGGAUGGAUGGAUGGAAGGAAGGAUGGAUGGAUGGAUGGAUGGAAUGAUGGAUGGAUGGAUGGAUGGAAGGAAGGAAGGAUGGAUGGAAAGAAGGAUGGAUGGAUGGAUGGAAGAAAGGAUGGAUGGAUGGAUAGGUGGGUGGUGGGUGGAUGGAUGAUGAAUGGAUGGAUGGAUGAGUGGAUGGAUGGAUGGGCAUAUGAGUGAAUAAAUGCCUUACUCGAUGUUGUGUCUUCAGGUCUAGCACAGGUCACUGAACAUGGAAGGUGUUCAGGGAAUGGGUGAGUGAUAGAGAACAUGAAAGAAGGAAGAAACACAAGUAAGUAAAAAGGGUUUGAACCGUCAGGUCAUGGUUACAGAAGUAAGCAUGAGGCACCAUGCCCCCACCCCUGCUUCCUCACAUUGGUGCGGGCACACCUUCACAGAGCUGGGCACAUCGCAGGCCUCAGACACUGGCUGCCUGAGCAAGUUCAUGAAAGAUGCCCUGUUUUCGCUUUGCUCCAAGGCCACGGUACAGGUGCAGUCCCUGCCCUAUAAGGUACACUUUUUGGGUUUUGCCCUAAGACCUCCUCUUCUCCACAAGUCAGUGCAGUUUUCCUGUCAGAGAGCCAAAAUGGGAGCGGUCGAGGCUUUGUGGGCCUGACCACCUUACCUCUGCUGCUGUAAUGUGAAAACAGCCAUGGAGAACACAUGAGCGGGUGUGGCUCUGUUUGUAUAAAACUUCAUUUACGGACACCAAAACACGGAUUUCAGGUAAUGUACUCGCGUCAUGAAGUAUGACUCUGUUUGCUUUCCAUUUCCAGCCAUUUAGAAAUAUAAAAACCACUCUUAGCUCGCAGGCCCUUCUGAC
rnacentral:lncRNA from 1 species